GACGCGGUGGUCUAAUGGUUAGCACGCUGGACUCCAGACCGAGCUGUCCGGGUUCAAGCCCUGGCCUGGGUCA